AUCGUGGUGGGAGACAGUGUCAGGCGGGCAGUUUGACUGGGGCGGUCGCCUCCUAAAAGGUAACGGAGGCGCUCAAAGGUUCCCUCAGAAUGGUUGGAAAUCAUUCAUAGAGUGUAAAGGCAUAAGGGAGCUUGACUGCGAGACCUACAAGUCGAGCAGGGUCGAAAGACGGACUUAGUGAUCCGGUGGUUCCGCAUGGAAGGGCCAUCGCUCAACGGAUAAAAGCUACCCCGGGGAUAACAGGCUUAUCUCCCCCAAGAGUUCACAUCGACGGGGAGGUUUGGCACCUCGAUGUCGGCUCAUCGCAUCCUGGGGCUGUAGUCGGUCCCAAGGGUUGGGCUGUUCGCCCAUUAAAGCGGUACGCGAGCUGGGUUUAGAACGUCGUGAGACAGUUCGGUCCCUAUCCGUCGUGGGCGUAGGAAAUUUGAGAGGAGCUGUCCUUAGUACGAGAGGACCGGGAUGGACAUACCUCUGGUGUACCAGUUGUCGUGCCAACGGCAUAGCUGGGUAGCUAUGUAUGGACGGGAUAAGUGCUGAAAGCAUCUAAGCAUGAAGCCCCCCUCAAGAUGAGAUUUCCCAACUUCGGUUAUAAGAUCCCUCGAAGAUGACGAGGUUAAUAGGUUCGAGGUGGAAGCGUGGUGACACGUGGAGCUGACGAAUACUAAUCGAUCGAAGACUUAAUCAA
rnacentral:rRNA from 1 species